GACGAACGCUGGCGGCGUGCUUAACACAUGCAAGUCGAACGGAAAGGCCCUGCUUUUGUGGUGUGCUCGAGUGGCGAACGUGUGAGUAACACGUGAGUAACCUGCCCUUGACUUUGGGAUAACUUCAGGAAACUGGGGCUAAUACCGGAUAGGAGCUCCUGCUGCAUGGUGGGGGUUGGAAAGUUUCGGCGGGUGGGGAUGGACUCGCGGCUUAUCAGCUUGUUGGUGGGGUAGUGGAUUACCAAGGCUUUGACGGGUAGCCGGCCUGAGAGGGUGACCGGCAACAUUGGGACGGAGAUACGGCCCAGACUCCUACGGGAGGCAGCAGUGGGGAAUAUUGAACAAUGGGCGGAAGCCUGAUGCAGCAACGCCGCGUGCGGGAUGACGGCCUUCGGGUUGUAAACCGCUUUCGCCUGUGACGAAGCGUGAGUGACGGUAAUGGGUAAAGAAGCACCGGCUAACUACGUG
rnacentral:rRNA from 1 species